rnacentral:tRNA from 1 species
GAGACACUAGUAAAACCGAUAAUUACAUUGCCUUGUCAAGGCAAAAUUGUGGGUUAGACCCCCACGUGUUUUA